CCCUUAGACACUCUAGGCGGCACGCGCGCUACAAUGGGUGGAAGAACGUGUUACUGCCUCCGAAAGGAGGGGUGAAUCACGAAUUCUUGCCCGUGAAUGGGAUAGUUUGUUGCAAUUUUCGGACUUGAACUUGGAAUCCCUUGUAAACAUGCUCAAGAAUAGCGUGUUGAAUACGUCCCUGCCGUUUGUACACACCGCCCGUCGUUUCUUCCGACUGAUACUCAUUGUGAGUUGCAAGGACCCUUUAUUGGGAAAUUGCUGCAAAUGCUUUGUAUUGGAGGAAGAAAAAGUCGUAACA
rnacentral:rRNA from 1 species